GUCGGAUCGUCAAAAGGAGCUUCUGCUGGCUUUUGUGAAAGAGCACCCACAGAUCGCGACGCUGUCGUGCCCGCUGGAGCCGUCUUUCACGAGGGAGGACCGGGACGACAUGUGGCAGGAGCUAGUAGCGCUUUUGAACGAAGAAGUCUCUGCGCGUAACACCAGGGCCCAGUGGCAGGCCCGAUGGAGGAAUGAGCGCUACUAUUCGCAGCAGGGUCUUGCCAAACUCCGAGGGCAGCAGAGCGGCACCCGAGGCGGCCAGAUUUCGGAUUACCGCGGCCGCGUCGUGCUUGACAGGGACGAGUGUGCGAGGCCCAUAGUUCGUGUGGUCUGAAUCGGUGAGCCCUGCUCCAGCUGCUACUGGUGUGGCUGAAGAGGAUGUGGCCCAGGAUCUUUCCCGUGCCCCAACUCCUCAUGCCGCAGCUGCGAGAUGGGGGCAACCGGCAGGCCGAGGCGCUGGAGUUACUAGCCGCAAACACCAGGCGGCAGGGCCAGGCAUCAUUGGAAAGCUGC